rnacentral:lncRNA from 1 species
AUUCUUACCACCGGGGCCACCAGCCCAGAUAGACACUGAUCAUCUGCAACACCCGUCUGAUGGACAAGAUUGCCCUGCAGAGUUCAAGUCUGAGAGUUCCCCUAGAGCUAAACUCUCCUAUCAAGGUGCUUCAUGCAGACAUCUGUACACCAGAUUUACUUCUGCAAAAUGCUGAUGCUAUGAAUAAUGCUUUUGAAUAUUAAUAAGGCAAAACAGACCAGGUAUGUUAUUUUAUCAAGCAAGAAAUUUGUCAUUAAAAUAUAUCCAGCAAGAUAUGAAAAGAGAUUAGUAGGUGAGAAAUGUUUUCAUGUUAAACUUUUUAAAAACUACUCCUCAAACAA